UAGAUACAAUUUCGUACGCUGAAUGGCCGGGCUUAUGUUCGUCUGUCCUUGCUGACAUGCUGGCUGAUUUUUUGCACUUGGAACUUUUUGAUAACUUUUCUUAGCCAGGUGUUUUUUGUGUGUGUUUGUCUUUAUUUCUUGUCUGUUAGCACGUUCUCGCAUUUCUCUGGACUUCAACUAAUUGCACUUUUUUCCUAUUAACUUGUAUUUGUCAAUGUGUUUUCUGUGUCUUCUUAUAAGCUGACCCAUUCUCGCCUGGAUUUUUUCUUUGUUGUUGUUGUUGUUGUUUGUUUUCACUGUACUUCAACUAAUUGCACUGUAUUUUCUUAUUAACUUGUAUUUCCCAGUGUGCUUUCUGUGUGUUUUCCUAUAUGCUGACCCAUUCACGCAUUGAUAUUUUUGUUCUUUUCUGCACUUUGAAUGUUUGCACCUUUGUUUGUUGUUUGCACUCUCGUUGUUUGCAUUCCUGAUCUUGGAUUGUUUGUUUUGUUCCGUUAAAAUGUUCACACUCUCAUUGUUCUUGCAUUCCCACACUCGUCUAGGUGGUUGUUUGCACCUUUGUUUGUUGUUUGCACUCUCGUUGUUUGCAUCGCUGAUCUUGGAUUGUUUGUUUAGUGCCGUUAAAAUGUUCACACUCAUUUUUCUUGCAGUUCCACACUCGUCUAGGCUGUUGUUUGCACCCUUAUCUUGUUUGCAUUGCUACAUUUGCCACAUUUGUUUGCUCCCUUGUCAUAUUUUUAUCGCUGCACUCGACCAGUUGUUUGCUGUUUCGGUGACUAAGAAUGUUCACACCUUUAUUUUUGUUUGCAUUGGCCGGUUGGUUUUGUGCACUUAAAUUGUUUGCACUUCAUUUGUUUACGGUUCUGCACUGCUCCGUGGUUUGGUCGGCGUCAUCAGGUCAUCUUUUUCCCUGUUUAUGAUUCACUUUCGAUAAUUUCUCCUUCUAGAACGAGUGGAGUGAAUCUUGGAAGACUUGCAAGCUAUUUUUUUUUCUCUCGUAACCUUCAAACUCCUUUAUUUAUUUCAUUUAUUUAUUUAUUUAUUUAUUUAUUUACGUGAACACCUAUUACGCCAGUACGCUCUCUUGAGGGGCCUGGAUGGUGUUCGGCCCCAAUCCGUCAUGGCGCAGGCAAGUGUUUAUAGUGGCGCCAUCUAUGAACAUACUAAUUAUACUACUUCAACAUGCAACAUACAGGACAAGAUUCAUAACUCUUUACAGCAAGUGGAUCAAAGAAACAUAACUCAAGACUAUUGCAUUUAUAUUUUGUUUCAUUACUUGUUUGUUAUGUAUUCUAAUCCCUAAAACACAUUCAGUAACACAUACACACACACGCACACACACACACACACACACACACACACAGCAGGGAAGGUCAAUGUGUGUGUGUGUCUUAUCUCUUAACAAACAACUAAGUACGUCGGCACUUAUGUUAUCAGGUCCAGUUGAGAGUAGUUACAUACACACACACACACACACACACACACACACACACACACACACACACACAACAGAAGAAGGGUCAUAUUACCACCACCAGGGUCAUGAAACUAUACGUAAGGAAAUAAAUCAAUGAGAGAUAUUAGUCAAGAUCUCAUGCGUUUCUUUCAUGUUAAUUGUACAGAAGAAGGAUCAAACUACCACCAGGGUCAUGAAACUAUAGGAAAGGAAAUUGGUUUGCUGUACAUAUGAGGAGAUAAAUCGCAAAUCAUCUAAUCUACUAUAAAAAUGAGAUUAGUCAAGUUAUCGAGUGUUUUUUCAUUACAGAAGAAGAGUCAGACUACUACCAGGGUCAUGAAACUAUAGGAAAGAAAUUGAUCUAUACAUAUAAGAAGAUAAAUCGCGAAUCUUCUAAUCUACUUUAAAAAUGAGAUUAGUCGAGAUCCCACGAGUGUUUUUUUCAUGUUAAUUGUACAGAAGAAAGGUCAAACUACCACCAGGGUCAUGAAACUAUAGAAAAGGAAAUUGGUUUGCUAUAUAUAUAAGAAGAUAAAUCGCGAAUCUUCUAAUCAACUAUAAAAAUGAGAUUAGUCGAGAUCCCAUGAGUGGUUUUUUUUUUUUUUUUUUUUU